rnacentral:rRNA from 1 species
CAGUCGCCACGGUAAUACGUAGGUGGCAAGCGUUGUCCGGAAUUAUUGGGCGUAAAGGGCUCGCAGGCGGUUUCUUAGGUCUGAUGUGAAAGCCCCCGGCUCAACCGGGGAGGGUCAUUGGAAACUGGGAAACUUGAGCGCAGAAGAGGAGAGUGGAAUUCCACGUGUAGCGGUGAAAUGCGUAGAGAUGUGGAGGAACACCAGUGGCGAAGGCGACUCUCUGGUCUGUAACUGACGCUGAGGAGCGAAAGCGUGGGGAGCGAACAGGAUUAGAUACCCGCGUAGUCCCUGUCUCUUAUAC